GUGCCAGCCGCCGCGGUACUACCGGCAGCCCAAGUGAUGGCCGCUGUUAUUGGGCCUAAAGCGUCCGUAGCUGGCCGCGCAAGUCCAUCGGAAAAUCCACCCGCCCAACGGGUGGGCGUCCGGUGGAAACUGCGUGGCUUGGGACCGGGAGGCCUGAGGGGUACGAUCGGGGUAGGAGUGAAAUCCUGUAAUCCCGCUCGGACCGCUGAUGGGGAAACCACCUCAGGAGAACGGAUCCGACAGUGAGGGACGAAAGCCAGGGUCUCGAACCGGAUUAGAUACCCGGGUAGUCC
rnacentral:rRNA from 1 species